rnacentral:lncRNA from 1 species
CCUACACGUGGUCAAAGCAGCUCCCCUGCACAGAAUCCGCAAGCCAAAACGCCGCGGAGGCACAUGCAGGAAGCCAGCACACCUCGAAUAGCCACCUUGACGGCGGGUGUGUCACCCAAGUCGCCAAGGAAGCGUUUGAGGGUAAGCCACAGAGAAUGAAAGCGGCCACUUCUCCACGUAAAUGACACUCUUUCUCUCAGAUGACUCCUACACGUGGUCAAAGCAGCUCCCCUGCACAGAAUCCGCAAGCCAAAACGCCGCGGAGGCACGUGCAGGUAAGAGGCAAGCAACAAUGGCACUGGUAUUGACAUUCACUCAAUUUCUUUUUAUUAUGCUUAGGAAGCCAGCACACCUC